rnacentral:tRNA from 1 species
GUCUUUAUCGUCUAGUGGUUAGGACACCGCCCUUUCACGGCGGUAACACGGGUUCAAAUCCCGUUAAAGAUA